rnacentral:rRNA from 1 species
ACUAACCCUAGCCCUAUUAACAAUAAACAUAGCCAUAUUCUUAAAUAGACCAAAACAUUUAAUAUAAUAAAGUAUUGGAGAAAAAAAUUAAAUACAGGAGCUAUAGAGUAAGUACCGCAAGGGAAAGAUGAAAGAAUAAUAAAAAGUAUAAAUAAGCAAAGAUUAAACCUUGUACCUUUUGCAUAAUGAAUUAACUAGAAGUACUCUAACUAAAAGAAUUAAAGCUAGAAACCCCGAAACCAAGCGAGCUACCUAAAAACCAACUUUAUGAGAAAACCCGUUUAUGUAGCAAAAUAAUGGGAUGAUUUUCAGGUAGAGGUGAAAAGCCUAUCGAGCCUGGUGAUAGCUGGUUACCCAAAAACGAAUUUCAGUUCAACUUUAAACUUACCGCAAGGAUACAAAUAAUCUUCAUGUAAGUUUAAAUUAUAGCCAAAAGAGGGACAGCUCUUUAGGAAUGGAAAAAACCUUUAAUAGUGAAUAAACAUAUUUACAUUUUCAUAACCAUUGUAGGCCUAAAAGCAGCCACCAACAAAGAAAGCGUUCAAGCUCAACAUAUAAAUUAAAUUAAUCCAAAAAUUAACAAUAAAUUCCUACACUAAAAACUGGGUUAAUCUAUAAAAUUAUAGAUGAGACACUGUUAAUAUGAGUAACAAGAAACUAUUCUCCAAGCACAGGUUUAUAACAACUCGGAUAACCAUUGUUAGUUAUAGGACAUUAGAUAAUAAAUACACCACUAAACUAUCUAAACCAAAACCGUUAAUCCAACACAGGAGUGCUCUAAGGAAAGAUUAAAAAGAAUAAAAGGAACUCGGCAAACAUGAAUCCCGCCUGUUUACCAAAAACAUCACCUCUAGCAUUACAAGUAUUAGAGGCACUGCCUGCCCAGUGACUAAAAUUAAACGGCCGCGGUAUCCUAACCGUGCAAAGGUAGCAUAAUAAUUUGUUCCCUAAUUAGGGACUAGUAUGAACGGCUAAACGAGAAUUCAACUGUCUCUUAUUCUUAAUCAGUGAAAUUGACCUUCCAGUGAAGAGGCCGGAAUAAAACAAUAAGACGAGAAGACCCUGUGGAGCUUUAAUUAAUUAACUUAUUUAUUAAACCCAAAACCUAAUGGAAUAAAAAUAUAAACAUAAGAUAACAAUUUCGGUUGGGGUGACCUCGGAGAACAAAUAAACCUCCGAAUGAUUGUAGCAAAGACAAACAAGUCAAAGCAAAACAUAAAAUCUUAUUGACCCAAAACAUUUUUGACCAACGGACCAAGUUACCCUAGGGAUAACAGCGCAAUCCUAUUUAAGAGUUCAUAUCGACAAUUAGGGUUUACGACCUCGAUGUUGGAUCAGGACAUCCCAAUGGCGCAGAAGCUAUUAAAGGCUCGUUUGUUCAACGAUUAAAGUCCUACGUGAUCUGAGUUCAGACCGGAGUAAUCCAGGUCGGUUUCUAUCUAUUUACAAUUUCUCCCAGUACGAAAGGACAAGAGAAAUAGAGCCAACUCACAAAUGAACGCUCUUAAACUAAUAUAUGAAUAAAUCUCAAUAUAGUAAGUGUAUAAAACAAAUAACCUAGAUAAGAA